rnacentral:rRNA from 1 species
GUGACCGUAAACGAUGCCAACCAGCGAUUCGGCGAUGUUCUUUUUGUGACUCGCUGAGCAGCUUCCGGGAAACCAAAGUGUUUCGGUUCCGGGGGAAGUAUGGUUGCAAAGCUGAAACUUAAAGGAAUUGACGGAAGGGCACCACCAGGAGUGGAGCAUGCGGCUUAAUUUGACUCAACACGGGAAAACUCACCCGUCCCGAACACUGCGAGGAUUGACAGAUCAAGAGCUCUUUCUUGAUUCAGUGGGUAGUGGUGCAUGGCCGUUCUUAGUUGGUGGAGCGAUUUGUCUGGCUAAUUCCGAUAACGAACGAGACUCUGGCCUACUAACUAGCGGCGGUAUUCACGUCUCCCGCGCGACGCCGCGCUGCGCUGCGGCUGAGCACAGUCGUCGCCGUUUGCGCGAGCGCUCCGCGGAGCACCUGCAGUGCCGGCAGCCGCUUCUUAGAGGGACCAGCGACACUUUCGCAAGCCGCACGAGAAAGAGCAAUAACAGGUCUGUGAUGCCCUUAGAUGUACGGGGCUGCACGCGUGCUACACUGACGGCGUCAGCGUGCGUUCAAGCCCGGCCUGGCAAGGCCAGGAAAUCGGUUGAAACGUUCUCGUGACUGGGACAGGGAAUUGCAAUUAUUUCCCUCGAACGAGGAAUUCCCAGUAAGCGCGAGUCAUCAGCUUGCGUUGACU